rnacentral:rRNA from 1 species
ACGGGUGAGUAACGCGUGGGAAUCUACCCAUCUCUACGGAAUAACGCAUGGAAACGUGUGCUAAUACCGUAUACGUCCUUCGGGAGAAAGAUUUAUCGGAGAUGGAUGAGCCCGCGUUGGAUUAGCUAGUUGGUGGGGUAAAGGCCUACCAAGGCGACGAUCCAUAGCUGGUCUGAGAGGAUGAUCAGCCACACUGGGACUGAGACACGGCCCAGACUCCUACGGGAGGCAGCAGUGGGGAAUAUUGGACAAUGGGCGCAAGCCUGAUCCAGCCAUGCCGCGUGAGUGAUGAACGCCCUAGGGUUGUAAAGCUCUUUCACCGGUGAAGAUAAUGACGGUAACCGGAGAAGAAGCCCCGGCUAACUUCGUGCCAGCAGCCGCGGUAAUACGAAGGGGGCUAGCGUUGUUCGGAUUCACUGGGCGUAAAGCGCACGUAGGCGGACUAUUAAGUCAGGGGUGAAAUCCCGGGGCUCAACCCCGGAACUGCCUUUGAUACUGGUAGUCUUGAGUUCGAGAGAGGUGAGUGGAAUUCCGAGUGUAGAGGUGAAAUUCGUAGA